UCUAGGGGAGCCGUAGGGAAACCGAGUCUUAACUGGGCGUUCAGUCUCUGGAUAUAGACCCGAAACCAGGUGAUCUAGCCAUGGGCAGGUUGAAGGUUGAGUAACAUCAACUGGAGGACCGAACCGACUAAUGUUGAAAAAUUAGCGGAUGACUUGUGGCUAGGGGUGAAAGGCCAAUCAAACCUGGAGAUAGCUGGUUCUCCCCGAAAGCUAUUUAGGUAGCGCCUCGGACGAAUACUACUGGGGGUAGAGCACUGUUAAGGCUAGGGGGUCAUCCCGACUUACCAACCCUUUGCAAACUCCGAAUACCAGUAAGUACUAUCCGGGAGACACACGGCGGGUGCUAACGUCCGUCGUGGAGAGGGAAACAACCCAGACCGCCAGCUAAGGUCCCAAAUUACUACUAAGUGGGAAACGAUGUGGGAAGGCUCAGACAGCCAGGAUGUUGGCUUAGAAGCAGCCAUCAUUUAAAGAAAGCGUAAUAGCUCACUGGUCGAGUCGGCCUGCGCGGAAGAUGUAACGGGGCUAAGUAGUAAACCGAAGCUGCGGCAAUAUACUUUUGUAUAUUGGGUAGGGGAGCGUUCUGUAAGCGGUUGAAGGUGUGUGGUAACGCAUGCUGGACGUAUCAGAAGUGCGAAUGCUGACAUGAGUAACGAUAAAGGGGGUGAAAAACCUCCUCGCCGGAAGACCAAGGGUUCCUGUCCAACGUUAAUCGGGGCAGGGUAAGUCGACCCCUAAGGCGAGGCCGAAAGGCGUAGUCGAUGGGAAACGGGUUAAUAUUCCCGUACUUCUUACAAUUGCGAUGGGGGGACGGAGAAGGCUAGGUGGGCCUGGCGACGGUUGUCCAGGUUCAAGUGCGUAGGCUUAAGAGUUAGGUAAAUCCGGCUCUUUUUAAGGCUGAGACACGACGUCGAGCACCUACGGGUGUGAAGUCAUUGAUGCCAUGCUUCCAGGAAAAGCCUCUAAGCUUCAGAUUGUAAGGAAUCGUACCCCAAACCGACACAGGUGGUCGGGUAGAGAAUACCAAGGCGCUUGAGAGAACUCGGGUGAAGGAACUAGGCAAAAUGGUACCGUAACUUCGGGAGAAGGUACGCUCUUGAUGGUGAAGUCCCUUGCGGAUGGAGCUGACGAGAGUCGCAGAUACCAGGUGGCUGCAACUGUUUAUUAAAAACACAGCACUGUGCAAAAUCG
rnacentral:rRNA from 1 species